UACGGAGGGAGCUAGCGUUGUUCGGAAUUACUGGGCGUAAAGCGCACGUAGGCGGCUUUGUAAGUUAGAGGUGAAAGCCUGGAGCUCAACUCCAGAAUUGCCUUUAAGACUGCAUCGCUUGAAUCCAGGAGAGGUGAGUGGAAUUCCGAGUGUAGAGGUGAAAUUCGUAGAUAUUCGGAAGAACACCAGUGGCGAAGGCGGCUCACUGGACUGGUAUUGACGCUGAAGUGCGAAAGUGUGGGGAGCAAACAGGAUUAGAUACCCUGGUAGUCCACGCCGUAAACGAUGAUAACUAGCUGUCAGGGUUCUUAGAACUUUGGUGGCGCAGCUAACGCAUUAAGUUAUCCGCCUGGGGAGUACGGCCGCAAGGUUAAAACUCAAAGGAAUUGACGGGGGCCUGCACAAGCGGUGGAGCAUGUGGUUUAAUUCGAAGCAACGCGCAGAACCUUACCAGCGUUUGACAUGCCCGGACAGUUUCCAGAGAUGGAUGCCUUGCCUUCGGGGACUGGGACACAGGUGCUGC
rnacentral:rRNA from 1 species